GCAGGGAAUCUUGCGCAAUGGGCGAAAGCCUGACGCAGCGACACCGCGUGGGGGAAGAAGGCCUUCGGGUUGUAAACCCCUUUUCUGGGGGAAGAGGAAGGACGUUACCCCAGGAAGAAGCCUCGGCUAACUACGUGCCAGCAGCCGCGGUAAGACGUAGGAGGCGAGCGUUGUCCGGAUUUACUGGGCGUAAAGAGCGCGUAGGCGGUGAAGGAAGUCCACGGUGAAAGUUCCCGGCUCAACUGGGAAAGGUCCGAGGAUACUCCUUCACUUGAGGGCAGCAGAGGCGGGUGGAAUUCCCGGCGUAGCGGUGAAAUGCGUAGAAUUCGGGAGGAACACCAGAGGCGAAGGCGGCCCGCUGGGCUGCACCUGACGCUGAGGCGCGAUAGCGUGGGGAGCAAACCGG
rnacentral:rRNA from 1 species